UUUUACCGCCUUUUCUUUUUUAGCUAGUCUCCCACACUCUCUCUCUCUCUCAGACGUCGAAAAUCUCCUCACUGUCUCAUCUCUACCACUACCCACAAACCCACAGCCACAGCCGCCACCACCACCACCUCCUAACCCCCAACCACAGCCACCAUGACCACCCAAAAAUCGAGCCUAGUUAGGUCCAAAAACAAAUGGGUCAGGUCUAGCCCGACCCAUUUGUCUUAUCGUUUCUAACCCUAACGGUUCAUGCCCCUAAUCUAGAACCUUCCCUCGUUUUGCUAUCUCAUCCAAACUCUCUUGACAGAAACCCAUGGCUUGAGCUACCUGAUCUCAUCACCUCAAACCGGCACUGCCACCACAGGAGGCAGCUUGCUCCUCAUCAAAAAGCCUUACCGAGAUUCCUAUUUCUUUUUUCUAUUUAUUGUUAUCGAAACCCUAAUUUCUUGUUUGGUACACCGCAGGACCGAAAGACUGGUCAAAAGAGCAAAAGAGGAAGUCGUCAAGGUUCAUCUUGGCACCAAUUGACGCUUCGCGAGACAUUAAUCGCUCUGUCUAUCUCUCACUCGCUAGGGAUUUUGAGGAAAUUCAAGAGCUGUUGAGAUUGGUCGAUGGCACUGUAAAGCCUUCACUUUCUCAAAGAUUGCAAACCCAGUGUCUCUGCAAACAGCAAGUUCUAAAUACCCAUCAACGAUUCCAGUGUCUCUGCUAAAAAGAAUUACAUUUUGCGUGUCAAGGAAUUAUGAGUAGCUGAGUGCUGUCUUUUAUGCUUUAAGGUUUCUCAGAAUUGCCAAAGUCAAAUGGUUUCCUAAUUAUUGAAGCAAAUGGUGGGUUGAACCAACAGCGCUUAUCGCCAGCAUAUACAUUGAAGAUUUGGGAAUCAUUCACCACACAGAUACCCAACUUGGUACCAUAUCAUUUCUACUUUUAUGGUAGAGCUAUAUCAUGGAGAACUAUGAGAAUGUGCUACUUUCUACUUAUAGUUUCUAUGUAUGAACACUGCUCAAGGUUUAUGUGCUGAAGGUUUUGAAAGUUUUGGUGACUACAUUUAUGGAGAUGUGUGUUUAAUACCUACUGUAAACGUGAUAUGUUCAAGAUUGCAUUUUGAAAGAAA